rnacentral:misc_RNA from 1 species
GUAGGUGAACCUGCGGAAGGAUCAUUAACAAACAUAACACCUUUAAAAUGCCCAUAUAUAAUUUUUAUAUAGUAAUAUAAUUUUAUAUAUGUGUGUUUUUUUAUAAAUCCCUUAAUCAUCCCCAUUGUGUGCAUUUUAUUGAUUUUUUAAACAAAACAAAAAAACCAUUAAAAUAAAAAAAUUUUAUUAAAAAAAUUUAUAACAA